rnacentral:rRNA from 1 species
AAGCAACGCGAAGAACCUUACCAGGCCUUGACAUGCAGAGAACUUUCCAGAGAUGGAUUGGUUGCCUUCGGGAACUCUGACACAGGUGCUGCAUGGCUGUCGUCAGCUCGUUGUCGUGAGAUGUUCGGGUUAAGUCCCGUAACGAGCGCAACCCUUGUCCUUAGUUUACCAGCACGUUAUGGUGGGCACUCUAAGGAGACUGCCGGUGACAAACCGGAGGAAGGUGGAGAUGACGUCAAGUCAUCAUGGCCCUUACGGCCUGGGCUACACACGUGCUACAAUGGUCGGUACAAAGGGUUGCCAAGCCGCGAGGUGGAGCUAAUCCCAUAAAACCGAUCGUAGUCCGGAUCGCAGUCUGCAACUCGACUGCGUGAAGUCGGAAUCGCUAGUAAUCGUGAAUCAGAAUGUCACGGUGAAUACGUUCCCGGGCCUU